rnacentral:lncRNA from 1 species
UGAGAAUGGCUUUAUCUGAUGGCUGGUGUUAAUUUUUUAAAGUUUAACUAGAUUAUACAGCUGGCAUUAGAAUUUCCAGAUUUUUAGUUUCAUAGUAAACAGAAAAUUGGUAUUUUAACUAGCUGUAUCAGUUUUUCUUCUCUCAUCAGCUCUCAUUGAUCCAUAAAUUCCCUGUUACAUGCUAUGAACUUUGUAGUGUUCUAGAAGGUGAAAAGAAAGUGAAUUGGAGAAAGAGUCAAAAAGUAGUGGUAAAUUUUUUUCAGAAGUUAGGAGGUUUCAGAUAUGACGAGCAAAACAAACUACUAACCAUAU